rnacentral:rRNA from 1 species
UACAGAGGGUGCGAGCGUUAAUCGGAAUUACUGGGCGUAAAGCGCGCGUAGGCGGCUUUGCAAGCCGGAUGUGAAAUCCCCGGGCUUAACCUGGGAACUGCAUUCGGGACUGCAUUGCUAGAGUAUGGGAGAGGGAAGUGGAAUUUCAGGUGUAGCGGUGAAAUGCGUAGAUAUCUGAAGGAACAUCAGUGGCGAAAGCGACUUCCUGGACCAAUACUGACGCUCAUGUGCGAAAGCGUGGGGAGCGAACAGG